CCUACGGGUGGCAGCAGUGAGGAAUAUUGGUCAAUGGUCGGGAGCCUGAACCAGCCACGUCGCGUGAGGGAUGAAGGUACAGAGUAUCGUAAACCUCUUUUGUCAGGGAACAAAGACUGGGACGCGUCCCCGGAUGAGUGUACCUGAAGAAAAAGCAUCGCCUAACUCCGUGCCAGCAGCCGCGGUAAUACGGGGGAUGCGAGCGUUAUCCGGAUUUCUUGGGUUUAAAGGGUGCGCAGGCGGUCUGUUAAGUCAGCGGUCAAAGCCCGGGGCUCAACCCCGGCCCGCCGUUGACACUGGCAGUCGCGAGUUGGAGAGAAGUAUGCGGAAUGCGCGGUGUAGCGAUGAAAUGCAUAGAUAUCGCGCAGAACUCCGAUUGCGAAGGCAGCAUGCCGGCUCCACACUGACGCUGAGGCACGAAAGCGUGGGUAUCGAACAGGAUUAGAUACCCUGGUAGUC
rnacentral:rRNA from 1 species